rnacentral:rRNA from 2 species
CCGACACAGGUGGGUGGGAUGAGUAUUCUAAGGCGCGUGGAAGAACUCUCUUUAAGGAACUCUGCAAAAUAGCACCGUAUCUUCGGUAUAAGGUGUGGUUAGCUUUGUAUUAGGAUUUACUCCGAAAGCAAGGAAACUUACAACAAAGAGUCCCUCCCGACUGUUUACCAAAAACACAGCACUCUGCUAACUCGUAAGAGGAUGUAUAGGGUGUGACGCCUGCCCGGUGCUCGAAGGUUAAUUGAUGGGGUUAGCAUUAGCGAAGCUCUUGAUCGAAGCCCGAGUAAACGGCGGCCGUAACUAUAACGGUCCUAAGGUAGCGAAAUUCCUUGUCGGUUAAAUACCGACCUGCAUGAAUGGCGUAACGAGAUGGGAGCUGUCUCAAAGAGGGAUCCAGUGAAAUUGUAGUGGAGGUGAAAAUUCCUCCUACCCGCGGCAAGACGGAAAGACCCCGUGGACCUUUACUACAGCUUGACACUGCUACUUGGAUAAGAAUGUGCAGGAUAGGUGGGAGGCUUUGAGUAUAUGACGCCAGUUGUAUAUGAGCCAUUGUUGAGAUACCACUCUUUCUUAUUUGGGUAGCUAACCAGCUUGAGUUAUCCUCAAGUGGGACAAUGUCUGGUGGGUAGUUUGACUGGGGCGGUCGCCUCCCAAAUAAUAACGGAGGCUUACAAAGGUUGGCUCAGAACGGUUGGAAAUCGUUCGUAGAGUAUAAAGGUAUAAGCCAGCUUAACUGCAAGACAUACAAGUCAAGCAGAGACGAAAGUCGGUCUUAGUGAUCCGGUGGUUCUGUGUGGAAGGGCCAUCGCUCAAAGGAUAAAAGGUACCCCGGGGAUAACAGGCUGAUCUCCCCCAAGAGCUCACAUCGACGGGGAGGUUUGGCACCUCGAUGUCGGCUCAUCGCAUCCUGGGGCUGGAGCAGGUCCCAAGGGUAUGGCUGUUCGCCAUUUAAAGCGGUACGCGAGCUGGGUUCAGAACGUCGUGAGACAGUUCGGUCCCUAUCUGCCGUGGGCGUAAGAAGAUUGAAGAGAUUUGACCCUAGUACGAGAGGACCGGGUUGAACAAACCACUGGUGUAGCUGUUGUUCUGCCAAGAGCAUCGCAGCGUAGCUAAGUUUGGAAAGGAUAAACGCUGAAAGCAUCUAAGCGUGAAGCCAACUCUAAGAUGAAUCUUCUCUAAGCUCUCUAGAAGACUACUAGUUUGAUAGGCUGGGUGUGUAAUGGAUGAAAGUCCUUUAGCUGACCAGUACUAAUAGAGCGUUUGGCUUAUCUUUAAUAAAGCAU